rnacentral:lncRNA from 1 species
GCAUGGGCGACCUCAAGUAUCGCAUCCAGGUGUCGCCCUACGACUGCACCGGCUGCGACCUGUGCACGCACGCCUGCCCCGACGACGCGCUGCAGUCCGUGCCCAUCAACUCGGUGCUAGAGGUGGAGACCGCCAACUGGGACUUUGCCGGCACGCUGCCCGCGCGCACCGACAUCAUGGACAAGGCCACCGUCAAGGGCAGCCAGCUGCAGCCCCCGCUGAUGGAGUUCUCCGGCGCCUGCGAGGGCUGCGGCGAGACGCCCUACGUCAAGCUGCUGACGCAGGCAAGUUAUUGGGAAGGCGGGGAGUGGCGGGCAGUCCUGGGAGUCCCAACUGCAUCGCAUGUACGUUUGCCUUGCGGAGGCAGAUCAAUGCCGCCGGGGCUGACCUCCAAGCGUGACGUUAGUACACGCAUCCCACCUACGCAUUCUUGUGAAUGAUCAGAAAAGUGGGUUUUGUUUUGUGCACGCCUGCUGACGCAGCUCUUUGGCGACCGCCUGAUCAUCGCCAACGCCACCGGCUGCUCGUCCAUCUGGGGCGGCUCCGCGCCCUCCAACCCCUACACCACCAACGCCGACGGCUACGGCCCCGCCUGGGCCAACUCGCUGUUUGAGGACAAC